rnacentral:rRNA from 1 species
UUCCUACGGGUGGCAGCAGUGGGGAAUAUUGCACAAUGGGCGGAAGCCUGAUGCAGCGACGCCGCGUGGGGGAUGACGGCCUUCGGGUUGUAAACUCCUUUCACCAUCGACGAAGGUUUUCUGACGGUAGAUGGAGAAGAAGCACCGGCUAACUACGUGCCAGCAGCCGCGGUAAUACGUAGGGUGCGAGCGUUGUCCGGAAUUACUGGGCGUAAAGAGCUCGUAGGUGGUUUGUCGCGUCGUCUGUGAAAUUCCGGGGCUUAACUCCGGGCGUGCAGGCGAUACGGGCAUAACUUGAGUACUGUAGGGGAGACUGGAAUUCCUGGUGUAGCGGUGAAAUGCGCAGAUAUCAGGAGGAACACCGGUGGCGAAGGCGGGUCUCUGGGCAGUAACUGACGCUGAGGAGCGAAAGCAUGGGUAGCGAACAGGAUUAGAUACCCCUGUAGUCAU